UACGUAGGGUGCAAGCGUUGUCCGGAAUUAUUGGGCGUAAAGAGCUCGUAGGCGGUUUGUCGCGUCUGCUGUGAAAUCUGGGGGCUCAACCCCCAGCCUGCAGUGGGUACGGGCAGACUAGAGUGCGGUAGGGGAGAUUGGAAUUCCUGGUGUAGCGGUGGAAUGCGCAGAUAUCAGGAGGAACACCAACGGCGAAGGCAGCUUGCUGGGACGGUACUGACGCUAAGGCGCGAAAAGCGUGGGGAGCGAACAGG
rnacentral:rRNA from 1 species